rnacentral:rRNA from 1 species
UACGGAGGGUGCAAGCGUUAUCCGGAUUUACUGGGUUUAAAGGGUGCGUAGGUGGGUCUGUAAGUCAGUGGUGAAAUCUCCGGGCUUAACCCGGAAACUGCCAUUGAUACUAUAGAUCUUGAAUAUCCUGGAGGUGAGCGGAAUAUGUCAUGUAGCGGUGAAAUGCUUAGAUAUGACAUAGAACACCAAUUGCGAAGGCAGCUCACUACGGGAUCAUUGACACUGAGGCGCGAAAGCGUGGGGAGCGAUCCGG